AAGUCGUAACAAGGUCUCCGUUGGUGAACCAGCGGAGGGAUCAUUACAGAGUUAUUACAACUCCUAAACCCAUGUGAACUUACCAUUGUUGCCUCGGCAGAAGUUACCCUGUAACGGAGUUACCCUGUAGCGUUCUGCCGGUGGAUUUUAAAACUCUUGUUAUUUUUAUAUAUAUCUGAGCGUCUUAUUUUAAUAAGUCAAAACUUUCAACAACGGAUCUCUUGGUUCUG
rnacentral:misc_RNA from 1 species